rnacentral:rRNA from 1 species
AGUGGACGCUGGCGGUAGGCCUAACACAUGCAAGUCGAACGGCAGCACAGUAAGAGCUUGCUCUUACGGGUGGCGAGUGGCGGACGGGUGAGGAAUACAUCGGAAUCUACUUUUUCGUGGGGGAUAACGUAGGGAAACUUACGCUAAUACCGCAUACGACCUACGGGUGAAAGCAGGGGAUCUUCGGACCUUGCGCGAUUGAAUGAGCCGAUGUCGGAUUAGCUAGUUGGCGGGGUAAAGGCCCACCAAGGCGACGAUCCGUAGCUGGUCUGAGAGGAUGAUCAGCCACACUGGAACUGAGACACGGUCCAGACUCCUACGGGAGGCAGCAGUGGGGAAUAUUGGACAAUGGGCGCAAGCCUGAUCCAGCCAUACCGCGUGGGUGGAGAAGGCCUUCGGGUUGUAAAGCCCUUUUGUUGGGAAAGAAAAGCAGCAGGUUAAUACCCCGCUGUUCUGACGGUACCCAAAGAAUAAGCACCGGCUAACUUCGUG